CGUAGGAGGCAAGCGUUAUCCGGAGUUACUGGGCGUAAAGCGCGUGUAGGUGGGUUGGUAAGUUACCUAUGAAAGCUCCUGGCUAAACUAGGAGAGGUUGGGUGAUACUGCCAGUCUUGAAUCGAGGAGAGGUUGACGGAAUUCCGCGUGUAGUGGUGAAAUGCGUAGAGAUGCGGAAGAACACCAGUGGCGAAGGCGGUCAACUGGCCUCAGAUUGACACUCAAACGCGAAAGCAUGGGUAGCGAACGGGAUUAGAAACCCCGGUAGUCCAUGCCAUAAACGAUGUACACUGAAUGUUCGUUGUCCUACGGGGCAAUGAGUGUUGAAGCAAACGCGUUAAGUGUACCGCCUGGGGAGGUACGGUCGCAAGGCUA
rnacentral:rRNA from 1 species